rnacentral:rRNA from 1 species
GGAUUGGGAGGGUUCUACGGAACCCGUUUGGUGAAUCUAGUGCCGAGAAAAGCCUUCUAUGUGUUGAAUUUCUAGUACCCGUACCCCAAACCGACACAGGUGGGUGGGUAGAGCAUACCUAGGGGCGCGUGAUAACUCUCUCUAAGGAACUCGGCAAAAUGGCCCUGUAACUUCGGGAUAAGGGGUGCCUGCGUGAGCAGGCCGCAGUGAAAUGGCUCUGCGACUGUUUACCAAAAACACAGGUCUCUGCUAAGUCGUAAGACGAUGUAUAGGGGCUGACUCCUGCCCAGUGCCGGAAGGUUAAGGAAGUUGGUUAGCGCAAGCGAAGCUGGCGACCGAAGCCCCGGUGAACGGCGGCCGUAACGAUAACGGUCCUAAGGUAGCGAAAUUCCUUGUCGGGUAAGUUCCGACCCGCACGAAAGGAGUAACGAUCAGAGCGCUGUCUCGGAGAGAGACACGGCGAAAUAGGAUUGUCCGUGAAGAUACGGACUACCUGCACCCGGACAGAAAGACCCUAUGAAGCUUUACUGUAACUUGGAAUUGUGUUCGGACUUUGUCUGCGCAGAAUAGGUGGGAGGCUAUGAAACGUUCCUCGCGGGGAACUGGAGCCAUCGUUGAGAUACCACUCAGGCAGAGUCUGGAUUCUAACCUACGGGGACAGUUCCAGGUGGGCAGUUUGACUGGGGCGGUCGCCUCCUAAAAUGUAACGGAGGCGCGCAAGGGUUCCCUCAGGCUGGUUGGAAAUCAGCCAUAGAGUGUAAAAGCAUAAGGGAGCUUUACUGUGAGACCUACAAGUCGAGCAGGGACGAAAGUCGGCUUUAGUGAUCCGACGGCACUGAGUGGAAGGGCCGUCGCUCAACGGAUAAAAGUUACUCUAGGAUAACAGGCUGAUCUCCCCCAAGAGUUCACAUCGACGGGGAGGUUUGGCACCUCGAUGUCGGCUCGUCGCAACCUGGGGCGGUAGUACGUCCCAAGGGUUGGGCUGUUCGCCCAUUAAAGCGGCACGUGAGCUGGGUUCAGAACGUCGUGAGACAGUUCGGUCCAUAUCCGGUGUAGGCGUAGGUGCAUUGAAGGGAUCUCUCCUUAGUACGAGAGGACCGGGAGGGACGUACCUCUGGUGUACCUGUUAUCGUGCCAACGGUAAACGCAGGGUAGCCAUGUACGGAGUGGAUAACCGCUGAAAGCAUCUAAGUGGGAAGCCCACCUUAAGAUGAGUGCUCCCUUGAGGCCACGGGAAGACGACCCGUUUGAUAGGCGCUAGGUGGAAGUGCAGUAAUGCAUGCAGCCGAGGCGUACUAAUAGGCCGAUGGCUUGUCC